rnacentral:rRNA from 1 species
UUGGAAAGCUCUGAACUCAAGGCACCAGAUCCCAUCUGUUCUUGGAAGCUAAGCAGUCACUUCUGUUUAGUACUUGAAUGGGAGACCACCAAGGAAAACAAAGUGCUGUCAGCU